UGGGGAAUUUUGGACAAUGGGCGAAAGCCUGAUCCAGCAAUGCCGCGUGUGUGAAGAAGGCCUUCGGGUUGUAAAGCACUUUUGUCCGGAAAGAAAUCCUUGGCUCUAAUACAGUCGGGGGAUGACGGUACCGGAAGAAUAAGCACCGGCUAACUACGUGCCAGCAGCCGCGGUAAUACGUAGGGUGCAAGCGUUAAUCGGAAUUACUGGGCGUAAAGCGUGCGCAGGCGGUUUGCUAAGACCGAUGUGAAAUCCCCGGGCUCAACCUGGGAACUGCAUUGGUGACUGGCAGGCUAGAGUAUGGCAGAGGGGGGUAGAAUUCCACGUGUAGCAGUGAAAUGCGUAGAGAUGUGGAGGAAUACCGAUGGCGAAGGCAGCCCCCUGGGCCAAAUACUGACGCUCAUGCACGAAAAGCGUGGGGGAGCAAAACAGGAUUAGAUACCCCUGGUAGUCCCACGCCCUAAACCGAUGUCAACUAGUUGUUGGGGAUUCAUUUCCUUAGUAACGUAGCUAACGCGUGAAGUUGACCGCCUGGGGAGUACGGUCGCAAGAUUAAAACUCAAAUGAA
rnacentral:rRNA from 1 species